UCGAGGGGUAGUUAUCUUCGGAUAAUGAGACCGGCGCACGGGUGCGUAACGCGUAUGCAAUCUACCUUUCACAGAGGGAUAGCCCAGAGAAAUUUGGAUUAAUACCUCAUAGUAUAGUAGUCUCGCAUGAGACCACUAUUAAAGAUUUAUCGGUGAAAGAUGAGCAUGCGUCCCAUUAGUUAGUUGGUAAGGUAACGGCUUACCAAGACUACGAUGGGUAGGGGUCCUGAGAGGGAGAUCCCCCACACUGGUACUGAGACACGGACCAGACUCCUACGGGAGGCAGCAGUGAGGAAUAUUGGACAAUGGGCGCAAGCCUGAUCCAGCCAUGCCGCGUGCAGGAUGACGGUCCUAUGGAUUGUAAACUGCUUUUAUACAGGAAGAAACACUGGUUCGUGAACCAGCUUGACGGUACUGUAAGAAUAAGGAUCGGCUAACUCCGUGCCAGCAGCCGCGGUAAUACGGAGGAUCCAAGCGUUAUCCGGAAUCAUUGGGUUUAAAGGGUCCGUAGGCGGUCAGAUAAGUCAGUGGUGAAAGCCCAUCGCUCAACGGUGGAACGGCCAUUGAUACUGUCUGACUUGAAUUAUUAGGAAGUAACUAGAAUAUGUAGUGUAGCGGUGAAAUGCUUAGAGAUUACAUGGAAUACCAAUUGCGAAGGCAGGUUACUACUAAUAUAUUGACGCUGAUGGACGAAAGCGUGGGUAGCGAACAGGAUUAGAUACCCUGGUAGUCCACGCCGUAAACGAUGGAUACUAGCUGUUGGGAGCAAUCUCAGUGGCUAAGCGAAAGUGAUAAGUAUCCCACCUGGGGAGUACGAACGCAAGUUUGAAACUCAAAGGAAUUGACGGGGGCCCGCACAAGCGGUGGAGCAUGUGGUUUAAUUCGAUGAUACGCGAGGAACCUUACCAAGGCUUAAAUGUAGAUUGACCGGUUUGGAAACAGACUUUUCGCAAGACAAUUUACAAGGUGCUGCAUGGUUGUCGUCAGCUCGUGCCGUGAGGUGUCAGGUUAAGUCCUAUAACGAGCGCAACCCCUGUUGUUAGUUGCCACCGAGUCAUGUCGGGAACUCUAACAAGACUGCCAGUGUAAACUGUGAGGAAAGGUGGGGGAUGACGUCCAAUCA
rnacentral:rRNA from 1 species